rnacentral:lncRNA from 1 species
UGAAUGCAAGCUGAUGAGGUUUCGAAUACUAGCCUGCUUUGGCUUCUUAUUUAGACCUCUAAUAUUUAGUGAAAUAAAAUUAACCAUAGAAAUAAAAGGAUUUAUAUUGGGGAUUUUUUACCUCCCCCGCCCUUGUUUUUCUUCUUUGGUUUCUGACAGAAAUCACUAGAACUCAUGGCCUUAUUCUUGAGCUCCCUGUCGUCCUUAUCAUCAAUGAGUUUCAAUUUAUCAACAAGGGGAUUAGGCCUAGGGGCAGAGUCUGCGUCAGAAAGACCAGCUUCAAUCAAGGAAACAAUAGGAGAGAUAGGCAGGAAGGAAUUCUAUAUAGCAGGAAUAGAGUUUUGUUCCAGACCAUCAGAGGAGGCAAUAAAUUGCUUUGAGCCCUUCGAGACUAUAGUCUAAUUAUCAGCUGACUCCGGGGUUGGAGGAACUUGAGCAUCUAUAUAUCCAUGAGAAACACCAUCCAAAGAGGGGACUUAGGGUUUUUCACAACCAGAUGACUAAGAUGGAACAAUAUGAGUCUUACCUAAAUUCAUUGGAACUCAUUUAUAGUUUGCACGAGGAAACUUUAGCAUAGAAUGACCAAAAGAUUUGCAAUGGGAGAAAAUCUGAGGAUUAUUUUGGUUUUCCACCUUGACUUCAACCACUUUCUCAGAGCAAGUUUCAGGGAGCGUAGAAGUUGAAAAGAUUUCAAUACAAAUACGCGCUCAAUACAAAUACGCGCGAAGUUUAUUGGCUGCAGCUUUUCAGUAAUUUUGUCAGCAAACAGAGGCUUUCCAAUUCUAAUAGCAAUUUAGUUGAGGCCCUUAGGUGUCUAGUAGGACAAAGGAACAUGGUGAAAUUUUACCCAGACUAGGGUUUUUGAAUAGAACUCCGAAAGGACAUCAAAAC